rnacentral:rRNA from 1 species
UACGUAGGGUGCUAGCGUUAUCCGGAUUUACUGGGCGUAAAGGGUGCGUAGGUGGUCUUUUAAGUCGGCGGUUAAAGGCUACGGCUCAACCGUGUUAAGCCGCCGAAACUGGAAGACUUGAGUGCAGGAGGGGAAAGUGGAAUUCUCAGUGUAGCGGUGAAAUGCGUAGAUAUUGGGAAGAACACCAGUAGCGAAAGCAGCUUUCUGGGCUGUAACUGACACUGAGGUACGUAAGCGAGGGUAGCAAACAGG